GCAUUGGUGGCUCAGUGGUAGAAUUCUUGUCUUCCAUGUAAGAGACCUGGGUUCAAUCCCCAGCCAGUGCA